rfam:Myotis davidii contig201851, whole genome shotgun sequence.
GGUGGUUCUCGGGUAACGCACCCCGGAAUCAGGCGCCCUCCUCUCUGGUUCUGGGUACGUCACCCAAGAACCACA